GGGUGGACUAACAGACACAUAAUUGAGAUCAGACCACUGGACGUACAGAAACAGAGGGGUUGAGGGCCCUGCUCGAUGAGCUUACAUGCUAGAGGGGGUGGGGUAUAGUGACACAAAGGGUUAAAGUAGGGGAAUUACAUAGUUUGUUACAGAAGGGUUUAUUAAGUGCUUGGUAGGUCAUUUUUGACACUUGCAGGAACGGAGUCAUGGGGUGGGGGAUGAGAAACCUGCUGACAUUUUAAUUGAUAAGCUUUAAUGAAGAAGUGAGCUUUCAAAGAUUUUUUGAAGGAGUGGAGGCUGGGUGAAAGUCUGAUUGAGGGGGGAAGGGAGUUCCACAGAAUAGGUGCAGCCCUGAAGAAGUCUUGAAGGCGAGCAUCAGAGGUGGGGAUCCGGGAAGAGGAUAGGCGUAGGUCUUGGGCUGAGCGCAGGGGUUUCGACGGGACAUACUUGUGUAUGAGGGAGGAUAGGUAUGUUGGAGCAGCAUUAUGUAGGGAUUUGUAAGCAAGCGCCAGAAUUUUGAAUUGGGCCAAACUGGAAGCCAAUGCAGGGACUGACAGAGCGUGGAGGUGUGGGAGGUGCGACCGGACAGGAAAAUAAGCCUCGCAGCCACAUUCAUUAUAGAUUGCAGCGGUGCAAGCUGGGAACAUGUAAGAUCGGUGAGAAGGGGAUUGCAGUAGUCAAGGCGAGAGAGAACAAUAGCAUGAACCAGUACCUUAGCCGCGUCCGGCGUUAGAUAUGGGCGGAUGCGCGCUAUGUUAUACCGACCAUUGCAUAUCUGGGGGUACUUUUGCAUCUAUGGUCAACUGAGUCAUUUAUCACACUGUUCCAUUUCCUUUAGUUAGUUUGGUAACAGAUAGUAUUUUGUGUCCUAGGCUCAUUGCACUUACUUUACCUGCCUUAACGGCAAUCUCUG